rnacentral:lncRNA from 1 species
GACUUAGCGAGUUUUCCUAAAGUCUAAGCCUAAAGCCUCAACAUGAUCCUUCUUAGAACUAAGCCUAACAACUUGGCGAAUUCUACCAGAAUCUAAGUCUAGAGACUUAGCUGAGCUUGAAGACUUGAAGAAAUUCACCAAAGGGGAAUCCAACUCAAGUAGCCAAAAUAAAGGUUUAUCCAUUAUGCAAAUAGAAGCAUACCCAAAUUUAGAAAAAGAAAGCUCUUCAUUGAUAAGGGCCCGAAGGCCAAGUACAAAAUUGAGGUUCGAUCGUGUUUAAAGGCGGACCUCACU